rnacentral:rRNA from 1 species
UACGUAGGGGGCAAGCGUUAUCCGGAUUUACUGGGUGUAAAGGGAGCGUAGACGGCGAUGCAAGUCUGAAGUGAAAGCCCGGGGCUCAACCCCGGGACUGCUUUGGAAACUGUAUGGCUGGAGUGCUGGAGAGGCAAGCGGAAUUCCUAGUGUAGCGGUGAAAUGCGUAGAUAUUAGGAAGAACACCAGUGGCGAAGGCGGCUUGCUGGACAGUAACUGACGUUGAGGCUCGAAAGCGUGGGGAGCAAACAGG